UCGUCUAGGCGCAUGUGAUGUGGAGUGUGGGUUCGAUUCCCGCACCGGCAAGGAGAAAUUUUUUCGUAAAGCGAAAAGUUCUCUACUGGUCCACUGGGUGUGUUGUGUAAAUGUCCUGUCCGUUGUCUCAUGCUAGAUUUUGAGUGUUCAGUCUGUGCGACCUCUGGUCAAAGACGGUGGUUCUGUCUUUUUUUUAAGUCCGAUGCCUAUGACAUUUCAUCUGGAGUACCGCAGGGUAGUCAUCUAGGCCCGCUCAUUUUUAUUUUUUUUUGUUCCGAUCUUCUGUAACCUACGACUAUUGUCUGAAUUACACAGCGCUUCAGAGAGUUACAUCGAUUAAAGACCUUGGAAUCGUUCUCGACAGCAAGCUUCGUUUCACUGAACAUGUCUCAGUUACCAUCGCUAAGGCAAACCCAUGCUGCCACUGUUCGAACGAAUCAUGUACAUUUACAUCAAAUAUGCACAUAAUUGGAGCAUGAUAAACGAUAGAAAUAUACAUUUCAUUUUAUCUUUACAUCACUUAUCAUCUGUUGUUUUAAAUUUACAUGUUCUAUUUUAUGCCAUUUAAAUAAAAAAAUCGGUUUACAUGAGAAUCGAACUCAGGCCCGCAGAGUGAUAGCCCGUUCUGAUACCACUCUACCGUCUUCACUUCUUGAAACCGACGUUGUCUAAGGAGUAACAGGUUCUGAGUUAUGGCGAUUCAAACAUACAGUAUCGAACCCGUCGUGAUCGGGUUCUGACUAGGUAAUGUAAAUUUACAUGCUCUGAGUAGGCGCAUGCGCAUCGUCAAGGGGGAAUAUCUGACUGGAUGAAGUGCAAGAAUUUGAAGUUUUUCCAUCGAUUUAAGUAAACGCCUGAUGAAGUACACCGAUGAAAUGCAGCAUCAUGGAUGCUGCUUUGUAGUCGUAAUGGAAAAUCUUCACUCUAGUAUAACGGUGGUCGAAAUCGAAGGUUUCCCGCUGCAUUUGCAGCUGCCUUGAUGGAAUUGUUUGUUUUGUUUACAUUCUAUCGAGAUCGUCGCAAGCGUGGCCAUCUAUAGUUUCGGUUCACAUAAUAUCAUGUAAAAUUAAUUGUUUAUAAAUGAAUUUUCAGGGUGAAUAAAGUAUUGUUUUCAAUAAAAUGUAGUAAUCAUUGUAAGGUGAUGUAUUUAUACGGUUUAAUUCAUGCUCUGUUUAUGUGCAUGAUUUUCAACGCAUAAUUACAUUGAGAAAACGAUUACAUGAUCUGCAUUUACAUUAGUUUUAUUGAUUACAUUACCAGUAAAAGUCAAAUUUUUUUGCUGUGCAAAACGUCCCCGAGACAAAACGCCUUUUGGAUACAGGACUGGUAUUCUGGUGGACUGGGAAUUAAUGCACAAUACAGCGAUUUGAAAGCAUAGACAUCAUCGAACUGUGCUGUGUUACACCGUAAGAAUCCCAUGGGUCCUCUUCCCCUACCUGUGCAGAAGAUGUAUUUUAACUCAUUUCACACAGCUGCGCGAAAAAAAACUGUACACUCUAAUAACAAAUGAGCAAGAACGAAGUCUUUUAUCAUAGCAUGUGGGUGAGGUGUACUUCCCGAUUCUGCAUAUAUUACGAGAAAAUAUUAAUUUGGAUUUGUGAUGUCUGGAAAAGUUAUGGAAUUUCAUUGAGGUCUGGAAAAAAAUCACAAAACCCGGAAUUGAAAAUUUAUUGUUUUUUUGAACACUUUAUUCACAGUUCUAAUGUUUAAAAAAAAUGGGUUUGCAUAUAAGUACAAAUAAUGCACUACUGAAUUGAAGUUUAUAUUAGAUUUUAAAGUUAAUUAGAAAUAUCUGUCGGUUUUCAACUUGACUAGUGAUACAAUUUUUCACGUCAAUGAUUUUUACACAAACUGCACGCUGCACGCAAUAUUUGUGGAGUUUAUUAAAAAGUUUCUUCUUCAAUGUCUUCAACGAUCCCAUAAAACAUUCUGCUGAAUAUAAACAAUCCUUCACAAAAAAAAUCACCCUAAUCCACAAAAAAAAUACGAGUGCUCUCCCGAUUGUUUUUUUUCAGAAGUUCUCAAUGAAUUUGUCUAAUAUAUUGUUUCGUUUUUUCUAAUAUAUUGUUUCCGAAGAAAAUAAUUAUAGAGAGUAUAGUAUAGGAAUACAAUGUAUACACCCGAUUCUGUUUUAAACAGAUAAAACUUUUUUUACACGUAUUUUCAGAUUUUGAACUGAAAACUUUUUUUACACGGAACGCAUCCCCCGUGUAAAAAAAGAAUCGGGUGUAUAUAGUAUAGGAAGACAAUGAUUAAAACAUGUGAUUUUUUUUUCAAACUUUAUUACCAUGUUUAUUAAUUGAUGUGAUUAUUGUACAUUAACCUUCAAGAGAAGUCAAAAAUUACUACCGGCAUUCUACAAAUCCUUCUUGCUAUGUAGCAUACUUAGGAUAACUUCGAGGAUUCAAACAUGCAAGGAUCGUUAUAGCAGGCUAUGCAAAAUCUUUAUUGACUUUCAGUCUAACUUACAUUGUGGACUCGGCGGUAAACAGGAGAACGGUAUCUGGCGGCGUCGCAUGAAUCACGAAUUGUACCAGGUGUAUAAAGGGCUGGAUAUUAUUAAGCUUAUACAACACGGCAGACUACGGUGGGCUGGUCACGUUGUUCGUAUGCCGGAAGAACGUCAAGCGAAGAUAAUAUUUAGUAGAGAACCCGGAAGAGGCCGCAGGCUUCGUGGAAGGCCGCGUACACGCUGGCUUUUUGCAGUUGAAGAGGACCUGAGGGCGCUCAAUGUUCAGGGCGACUGGAAGCGAUUGGCCCAGGAUCGAGUCCAGUGGAGAAGGAUACUCCAUUUGGCGUAGGUUCAUCGAAGAGCUGUAGCCCAUCAAGUAUCAAUAAACCAACAGUAAUCAAAUGGAAAAUGGAAAUGUUUUCUUCUGAAAAUGCGAGAUUCAAUCAGAACAACGCUGGUACAACGCACAUCGAGAUGGCGAAAGACAUACAAAGCUGUACGAUGAUGGUACAGAAACCACGCAGGUAUCGCGUACAAUUUGAGGCGUACAACGCAUUUAC